UAUGUUGCAAUAGUAAUCCUGCUCAGUCUGAGAGAAACCGCAAGGUCAGACCUCUGGUGCAUGUGCUUGGCUGAAGAGCCACUGGUAUGAGGCUACCAUCUGUGGGCUUAUGACUGAAUGCCUCUAAGUCAGAAUCCCACCUAAGAUACAGUGAUAAA
rnacentral:ncRNA from 1 species